AUAUCCCUUGCCCCACUGUGCUCUCUCACCCCACUGCCCCAGACCCACCACACCUUCUGCCCCUAUGUGCUGCCCCACUGUCCCACCUUUACUGCGCCCCAUCCCACGGUGCCCCUCUGCCCCACCCCACCGCCACCACAUCUUACCCACCCCAUGUCCUCCCCACCCCCUGCCCUGCCACCCCCAGCGACCCACCCUCUGCCAGUCUGCCCAGCCACUCGCCGUGCUGCCCACCCCCUCGCCAAUUGCCCUGUCACCCACACAUCUCCUACCUGACUCCUCUGCAUGGGUGCUGGAACUACAGGGGCGAGGGAGUUGCCGCACCCCCUGGCUUGAAGUGGUUUCCAUGAUAUAUAGGGUUAGCAGUUUGGUUCAAUGGCUCUUAGCACCCCCCACCACAGAAAUUGUUCCAGACCCCCUGCUGCUCUGCCCCCCACAGCUCCCCCCACCCAGGUUCUGCCCAGCUGCCUCAACCACCCACAGCACUCCCUACUUUGCUCUAAGUACCCUUGCCGUGCAUAUAUUUUUACCUUCCCCAGUCACUGUACAGCCUCACCCACUUUCCUCCUAUGCCUUUGCUUUGUCCAUGGACCAUCUCCCUCUAUAGCUUCUGUCUUUUGCUGCUUAAAGCUAUUACCUAGUUGGCUACAUACAGUUAACAAGAGUGUCUGUGGCCUCUGGCCUGUGUCAGUACAUUACGCUGAGUGAAACUGUGCAGUCACUUGCUUCGUUGUCAACUUUUGCAAAACUCUGCUGGGAGUGCCAUUUAAAAUUUAUGGAGCAAGCAAAGGACUCUCUGCAUCCAAUGGAUAGGAUACUGGACUGGCAUUCAGAAAAGCUUGAUUCUAAUUCUCAGCUGCACUGCUGGCCUGCUGGGUGUCCUCGGGCAAAUAAAGCAGUUUGCUGACCAAUUGAAGCAGGGAAAGCGCCAUCUUCCGGACAUAAUCCAGACAAGAUUUAGGGGCUGAAUGUUUGAUGUGCAUCCUGACAUUCCAAUGAAGAAUCCAUUUAGGGCCCAUUUUUGUGGGCCAGGACAGUGGAAUGAACUCCCCCAUGAACUAAAGACCAUCACAGACGUCACUACCUUCCACACCAAGUGCAAGAUGCACUUCUCUGAGCUUGUCUUCUCCAAUAUAAACGCAGACCAACAUAUGUACUUAAGGAAAAAACAACCCCCCCUGCCAAAACAAGCCAUGCCACUGCACAUGCUUCUCUGCUCGGGGAGAGGAUGAGAGAACAAACAAGUGACUGAUGUUAGUCACGUUGCUUAAUACAUGACUGGAAAGUACUCUGAUACUAUGCAGUGUAAAAACCUGUCUCAGCUAGAACAGACUCUUAUCUUUGCGCCUGUGGCCGGAUCCUCAGCUGUGGUAAACUGGUGUAGCUCCAGUUUUGACAGGCCCUGGGUGGGCACAUAGGAGCUGCGUACGUUAUCUAUGGAGCAUGGGGAUAUACAACUUUCAGCUGCAGGGGUCACUUCAGCAUGCAAAGCUGAAGAAGAGCAGUGGAAAUCAGGACCCAACCCAUUAAUUCAGGACAGUCAACAAUCCCACGGCACACUGCUCACCUGGCUAAGUCAAUCAUAGAUUCAGAGACUUUGUGGCCUGACGCAGCACUGCAUUCAUAAAACAAGAGCUCACACUCCUGGAAGACACAAGAAGGCACACACAAAUGCACUUCCCUUCCAGAACUGUUUGGUAGGUUCAAGCCAUAGAUUGCAUAGAUUUAAAAGAGGUCGAGCGCAAGUGCUAUGAUUUUUCCCAGAUAAUCAUCAAACAACCAAAGACGGGGGAGUCGGUGCAUUUGGAGCAAUGAUAUCAUGGUUUGUAUAGGAUGUAAAAAAAGAAUCACGAGGGACUAAUUACACGAGGAAAGGUGGUGAUCUGUUGGAAAUGCAUGGCUCAGAGGGUCUCCUUGCUACUGCGGUGUGGAAUUCAUAUGUGAAUAAAAUUGUACAUUGUAAUUAUUAAGUUUUAGGAAUGUUGAGAAUGAAAUCCAGCUUCCCCAGCAGCUUCAGUGCUAAUCUUUAACGGCAAGGGAAAGCCUGGCAUACUAUAGACAUACACAGAGGCAGCAUUGCCUAGUGGAUUGAACACAGAGUUGUCAGCUGGAAUGUUCUCUUUCUGGCUCUGUCAGUGACUUGCUGUGUGCCUUGGGUAAGUCACUUCAUCUCUCUGUCCCGGGUUCUGUAAAAUGGGGAAAACGAUACUUGUCCAUCUCACGGACCGUUACAAGAAUCAAUGCUUGGACACAUAAAGCAUCUUUCAAAAGGGAUAAUUCAGUAAUUGCUUUAUGCUUUUAUUAUUUACAUAGUGCUGGAGAGGUGCCUGGCAUGUUACGGUGCAGAUAGGCCCAGAUCCUCAAAGACAUGUAGGAGCCUAACUCCCACUGAAAUCAAGGGAAUUACGCACCUAAAUACCUUUGAGGAUCUGGGCCAGAUUCCCUGCCUCAAAAACCUUACAGCCUGAGGCCCUGAUCAUGUAAGCUGUUCUGCUGGGGUUCAGUGGAGGAGGGCCAGGGAAUAGCGAUCUUGCCAGAUCGCGGUCUGAGUUAAAACAAGGCCAGCAGGAGGAGACAAAAACACAAGGAGCAAGAUAUGGUUCUGUGGUCAUUUCCUGGCAAUUAAUGACCAGACAAUGAGUUAAGGACUUUCUGCUUUGCCUCAGGUCCUCAAUUCCCACACUAAUCAUUAAUGGAAGGAAAUGCCUAUCCUGUCAGUCACCGUGGCUUAAUUAUAGCCUUGUUUUUGCUUUAUUCUUUUAACUCCCCGACCCCCAACUAAGGAUGGUGAAAGAAUUUAAAUGGAUGGUAAACACCAAUAGAUCUGUUCACAUACCUUAGC